UACGGAGGGUGCAAGCGUUAUCCGGAUUUACUGGGCGUAAAGGGCUCGUAGGUGGCCAACUAAGUCAGACGUGAAAUCCCCAGGCUCAACCUGGGAACUGCGUCUGAUACUGGAUGGCUUGAAUUCGGGAGAGGGAUGCAGAAUUCCAGGUGUAGCGGUGAAAUGCGUAGAUAUCUGGAGGAAUACCGGUGGCGAAGGCGGCAUCCUGGACCGAGAUUGACACUGAGGAGCGAAAGCCAGGGGAGCAAACGGG
rnacentral:rRNA from 1 species